CACACCUAGGCUGCUGCAACACCACUGCUUUACGCUCUAUUCUCUCACGAGACUAGCACAUCUCAUCUAGGCCGCCCUCUUUCUCUCACUGAAAAUCUCCUACCCCAUCACCAUUCUCUCCCUUGCAAUAACUCAAACAGCUCAUUUGUUUCUUUUUUAUUAUCUCUGAGAAAACCCAACUCCAUUGAACCUAUUACCACUCACAUAGUCCACUUUUAAUCAACGUCCAUUAGAAUCUCAUCUGGACCCAUGGUAUCUACUUCAAUCGCAAUACCAACAAAAGUUCAAGUUCACUGAAAGCUCCUUCACACACCACAAUCAGCAAAUGCCAAACCCAACUCCUCUUCUUUGAUUUUGGACGCGACUCCUUUUCAUUCGGUAGUGAAGAUCCGUUUCAUUCAGUCCCUGUACAAGCAUAGGCAAAAGAAACCCACUUGCAUUGACCGAUUUGCACACCACACCUUCCUGUCUUCAAAGCCAACUCUUCUGUUCACAUUGUGACUUAGGACAUACAAUUGUUCUAAGAACAGCCGGA
rnacentral:misc_RNA from 1 species